rnacentral:rRNA from 1 species
AACGAACGCUGGCGGCAGGCUUAACACAUGCAAGUCGAGCGCCCCGCAAGGGGAGCGGCAGACGGGUGAGUAACGCGUGGGAACGUACCCUUUGCUACGGAAUAGCUCCGGGAAACUGGAAUUAAUACCGUAUGUGCCCUACGGGGGAAAGAUUUAUCGGCAAAGGAUCGGCCCGCGUUGGAUUAGCUAGUUGGUGGGGUAAUGGCCUACCAAGGCGACGAUCCAUAGCUGGUCUGAGAGGAUGAUCAGCCACAUUGGGACUGAGACACGGCCCAAACUCCUACGGGAGGCAGCAGUGGGGAAUAUUGGACAAUGGGCGCAAGCCUGAUCCAGCCAUGCCGCGUGAGUGAUGAGGCCUUAGGGUUGUAAAGCUCUUUCAGCUGGGAAGAUAAUGACUGUACCAGCAGAAGAAGCCCCGGCUAACUCCGUGCCAGCAGCCGCAGUAACAC